rnacentral:lncRNA from 10 species
GCCACCAAAGCAGCUCAAGCUCAGGCAGAGGAAAUAGAAACUGGACAAAUGCAGUAUUUCUUAUGGGCACUGCUCUAAGGAGUAAUUUGGAAUCCAGUAGGGUGAUGUAAGUGAAGGUGCUUUGAAACCUCCCAAAGCUCUCGCCCAGGUAAGGAGGUUUGUGGUCCUUGUCACCAUUUACCCAGGAAAGCUUCAAAGCAGCAGCGGCGGCGGCGGCGGCGGCGGCGGCAGCAGAAUUUCCCUCCUUCCCUCCUGUUACUCUCCCAGCCUCCUCUCCCUCCUAUCACUCUCCUAAGUUCAGAGCUGACCCCACUCCUCUGCUACCCAUGGUGGUAGCCAGGCCUGUGCCUCUCCUAGCAUCAGAAGCUGCCCCAGUGCUAAAACUGAGAGUCCUGGGCAAACUGGAACAAUUGAUCACACAAUAAAGUGGGGGUUCUUGGGCUGGGUAUGGAGGCUCAUGCUUAUAAUCUCAGUGCUUUGGGAGGCCAAGGUGGAAGGAUUGCUUGAGCCCAGGGCUUCAAGACCAGCCUGGACAACAUAGCAAGACCCUAUCUCUACAAAA